GGGAGUAUGGCCUCCCGGAGUCUGCCUGCAGGGGCCGGCUUCAAACCGCCCGGUGCUGCUGCGUUCAAAAAUAACGGGGUCGGACCAAUGCAAGUUUAUGAUUUGGCAAUAAAUUAUGC
rnacentral:ncRNA from 1 species